UGGGGAAUAUUGCACAAUGGAGGGAACUCUGAUGCAGCGACGCCGCGUGAACGAAGAAGGCUUUCGAGUCGUAAAGUUCUUUUAUAUGGGAAGAUAAUGACGGUACCAUAAGAAAAAGCCCCGGCUAACUACGUGCCAGCAGCCGCGGUAAUACGUAGGGGGCUAGCGUUGUCCGGAAUCACUGGGCGUAGAGGGUUCGCAGGCGGAAAUGCAAGUCAGGUGUAAAAGGCAGUAGCUUAACUACUGUAAGCAUUCGAAACUGCAUAUCUUGAGAAGAGUAGAGGUAAGUGGAAUUUUUAGUGUAGCGGUGAAAUGCGUAGAUAUUAAAAAGAAUACCGGUGGCGAAGGCGACUUACUGGGCUCAUUCUGACGCUGAGGAACGAAAGCGUGGGUAGCAAACAGG
rnacentral:rRNA from 1 species